rnacentral:tRNA from 1 species
GGGAGUGGAUGAGUCCCGGUGGGCUCCGCGGUCUUCAAAACCGUUGUCGGGUCGCGUUGCGAGCCGUGGUGGGUUCGACUCCCAUGCACUCCCG